CCAUCACGACAGGGGAGCGUCGCAGCGAAGUUAUUCGCUGUAGGCGCUGAGAGUGCGAAUAGUCGCAGACCCUCGAACCUGCUCCGGCUAGUACCGGCGAAGGAAGUCGAGUUCUCAGGGGU
rnacentral:ncRNA from 2 species